GUCAGUAUAGUUUAACCAAAACAUUAAGCUGUGGACUUAAAAAUAAGGACUCACCUGUCCUUUACUAACC
rnacentral:tRNA from 1 species